UACGGGGGGAGCAAGCGUUGUUCGGAUUUACUGGGCGUAAAGGGCGCGUAGGCGGCCUCUGCAAGUCGACUGUGAAAUCUCCGGGCUUAACCCGGAACGGUCAGCCGAUACUGCAGGGCUAGAGUGCAGAAGGGGCAACUGGAAUUCUCGGUGUAGCGGUGAAAAUGCGUAGAUAUCGAGAGGAACACCUGCGGCGAAGGCGGGUUGCUGGGCUGACACUGACGCUGAAGUGCGAAAGCUAGGGGAGCGAACCGGG
rnacentral:rRNA from 1 species